rnacentral:rRNA from 1 species
AGGCUUAACACAUGCAAGUCGAACGCCCCGCAAGGGGAGUGGCAGACGGGUGAGUAACGCGUGGGAACAUACCCUUUCCUGCGGAAUAGCUCCGGGAAACUGGAAUUAAUACCGCAUACGCCCUACGGGGGAAAGAUUUAUCGGGGAAGGAUUGGCCCGCGUUGGAUUAGCUAGUUGGUGGGGUAAAGGCCUACCAAGGCGACGAUCCAUAGCUGGUCUGAGAGGAUGAUCAGCCACAUUGGGACUGAGACACGGCCCAAACUCCUACGGGAGGCAGCAGUGGGGAAUAUUGGACAAUGGGCGCAAGCCUGAUCCAGCCAUGCCGCGUGAGUGAUGAAGGCCUUAGGGUUGUAAAGCUCUUUCACCGAUGAAGAUAAUGACGGUAGUCGGAGAAGAAGCCCCGGCUAACUUCGUGCCAGCAGCCGCGGUAAUACGAAGGGGGCUAGCGUUGUCGGAAUUACUGGCGUAAAGCGCACGUAGGCGGAUAUUUAAGUCA